GUGACGAUUUUUUAAAAUAUCAUCUCCUGAUUAGUAUUCCUGUUGGCUUAAAGGAGUCAGCAUCCUGCAUUGUGGUCGAAGGCUAGGUUGAGUCGAGUCACAUUUGAAAUGGUGUGAGGCCUAAAUUGCGUCGAGUUAUAUUCGAAGUGGCGUGAGGCUAGUUGAAUCGAGUCACAAUCGAAAUUUGUGGGCACUGAGUAUUCUAUACGGUUUAAGUGAAUUAGUUGCAUAUUUUUAAUAGCAUAUGCUUUUGGAAUAGUUGGUUAGCAUUAACGAUUCGAUAAAUAGUAUCAAAGUGGGAGAUCAUGAAUUCGAUUUCUGUAUGUUGUGAAUUUGUGAGGGAGGAU
rnacentral:lncRNA from 1 species